CAGCAGCCGCGGUAAUACGGAGGGUGCAAGCGUUAAUCGGAAUUACUGGGCGUAAAGCGCACGCAGGCGGUCUGACAAGUCAGAUGUGAAAUCCCCGGGCUUAACCUGGGAACUGCAUUUGAAACUGUCAGGCUGGAGUCUUGUAGAGGGGGGUAGAAUUCCAGGUGUAGCGGUGAAAUGCGUAGAGAUCUGGAGGAAUACCGGUGGCGAAGGCGGCCCCCUGGACAAAGACUGACGCUCAGGUGCGAAAGCGUGGGGAGCAAACAGGAUUAGAUACCCGUGUAGUCCCUGUCUCUUAUAA
rnacentral:rRNA from 1 species